GGUAACUCCGGGCGGGAGGCGGGGGUAAUACGUGGGGGGCGAGCUUUGUCCGGAAUGAUUGGGCGUAAAGCGCGGGUAGGCGGCCCGGGAAGUCCGCUGUGAAAGUCGGGGGCUCAACCCUCGGAUGCCGGUGGAUACUGUCGGGCUCGAGUACGGAAGAGGCGAGUGGAAUUCCUGGUGUAGCGGUGAAAUGCGCAGAUAUCAGGAGGAACACCAAUUGCGAAGGCAGCUCGCUGGGACGUCACUGACGCUGAGACGCGAAAGCGUGGGGAGCAAACAGGAUUAGAUACCCGGGUAGUC
rnacentral:rRNA from 1 species